AUGGCCCCAUUUCCCAUCCUGUGGGGCUGGGUGCUCCUGGCUGCCGUGAGUACAGAUGCAGCCAUGAGCUUGGUGGAGCAAAAGCCCAGGUGGGUCCUGGUACCUCGCGGACAGGCUGAAACACUGCGGUGCAUCCUGAAGGAUUCCCAGUACCCCUGGAUGAGCUGGUACCAGCAGGAUCUCCGGGGGCAACUAAAGGUGCUGGCCAGUCUGCGGAGUACCGGGGAAGAGGAAGUCAUAAACCUCCCUAGAGCAAAUUACUGGGCCACUCGGGUCAGUGAGAGCGAGCUGAGCCUACACGUGGCCAAUGUGACCCAGGGCAGAACACUGUUCUGCACCUGCAGUAAAGACACAGUGAGACACCCUAACUGGGAAAAUGAAUAAAAAUCACCCUCUGGGUGCCAACCACAGACCCAACCUCCUCCUCCUCUUCCCUCUCUGCCCUGAUGGCUCUCCCCCACCUGGAUCUUCCCUUCUGGCCUCUUUACUACAAACAGACUCUCCCCGUGCUUCAGAGAACAUUCAACCCAGUGAGUUCAAGCUUGAUCCAUGGCCCCAGCAGCCACUUGUGACUCUGGGGAAGACUUCUUCUCCUUGAAACUUAGGUUCUGUGUCUGCAAAGUACUGAUGCUAACUCCCAACUCAGAAGGUUGCUUCUUGGAUUAAACAACCCAGUUCAAGUGAAGCCUUUAGGAAAAUACAAGUCAUGUAGGAAGGACUUAAUCAGUGUUGGCUGUUCUCUCCACAGUGGUGGUAUUGUG